rnacentral:tRNA from 1 species
ACCUUCGGGGUGUAGCGGUAGGUACACUCGACUCGUAUUCGAGAGGUCCGUGGUUCGAGUCCCGGCGACAGCA